GCUCAGGGAAGAACGACGCCAUGGGAGCUUGGCUUAGGCGAGCAGGAAGGGGCGACCAGUGCCAUAAGAACGAGCUGGAGAUGGGGGAAACCGACCUGACAGCGAGCCGGAGCAAGGAAGGCGCGAUUGAGGGAGAAGUAGAGAGGAAGGAGCCAAGCGCUGGAAGCCGCGGCCCUGGAGGAGCAGAGCGCGAGCUGCAGCAGGGGCCGAGCGCCAUGGGAACUCCGCGAGCUGGAGCUAGAGGAAGGAGCGCGGACGGGCGGGGCCUCGGCCGACCAGGAGGAGAAGAGAAAGGAGCGGUUGCGCUGGGCGAGCUGCACCACCGGCGAGCUCCAUGGCUGGGAGGAGCUCGGGGCACGCCAUGGAAAAGCACCAGGGAGAGGAAGACGCGAGGGAGAGAGAGGAAUCCAGGGCUGUGGAGAGCUCGGCUGCUUGCAGCGAGUAGAGGAAGAGCGCGGCUUGGGGAGAUGCCAAGGAGAGGGACGCGUGUGGAAGGAGCGAUUGAAGACGACGACUGAAAUUGGG
rnacentral:misc_RNA from 1 species